AACGAACGCUGGCGGCAGGCCUAACACAUGCAAGUCGAGCGCUUCCUUCGGGAAGAGCGGCGGACGGGUUAGUAACGCGUGGGAACGUGCCCUUCUCUAAGGAAUAGCCACUGGAAACGGUGAGUAAUACCUUAUACGCCCUUCGGGGGAAAGAUUUAUCGGAGAAGGAUCGGCCCGCGUUAGAUUAGAUAGUUGGUGGGGGUAACGCCUACCAAGUCUACGAUCUAUAGCUGGUUUUAGAGGAUGAUCCAG
rnacentral:rRNA from 1 species